rnacentral:rRNA from 1 species
GUCUACGGCCUUACAACCCUGAACGCACCCGAUCUCGUCUGACCUCGGAAGCUAAGCAGGGUCGGGCUUGGUUAGUACUUAGAUGGGAGACCGCCUGGGAAUACUGGGUGCUGUAGGCU